GGGAUGCUUCAGGCAGCCUUGCGUAGCCUACCGCGUUGAAGGCGCGGACGAUGCGCGCUCCGGGCAGCAAUUCGGCCGAUGCGAGACCGGCGCCUUUCUUC
rnacentral:tRNA from 1 species